rnacentral:rRNA from 1 species
AGGUGAUAUAUUGAAAAAAGGUAUAUGUAAUAAAUAUUAUUUUAAGGAUUACGAAUCAAAAUUUAAAUAAUGAUAAAAAGAUCAUAACUGUAAUAAACAGUGAUCAAUCAAAAUCAUGAAAAUGAAAAAAAAUAAAAACAAGUGGAAUGAAACAUCUGAGUAACUUGUUAAAUAACCAACAGGGAUAAUAUAAGUAACGGUGAGUGAAAAUAUAAAAAUCUUAAAGUAUUGCCAAGAGGUAAGAAUAAAGUAGUUUCCAACUACUAAGAAAAAAAAUUAAAUUUUAGAUUAAAGUACCGCAAGGGAAAGUAAAGAAAUAGAAUAAUAAAGAGCAGUUAUAGUAUAACGUACCUCUUGUAUAAGUGCGACAAGAAGCAUUAAUAAUUAAUGUGGUUAAAUUCCACCAAAUCUUUUCCAUUGAUUUGACCCUAUCUAUACAUGCUGAAGGAGUAAUCAUCAGUGUGAAGCUAUAGAGACAAUGUAACAAUAAUCCCAUCUUUAAUAUAUAUUAAAGGUCGGAGUGCUAGGGUGAGUAAUUCUAUGAUGAACAAAAGUGAACAUGCCUGGAGGCUUCGUAAGAGGUGUAUCAAAUUUAACAACAGCUAGCUGUAGUAAAAAAUGAUAACUGUUAAGUCAAAUCUUUCUUAUACUGGGGUUUGAAAUGGAACAUAUUUAACACGGAGUAAAGCAUAGCAUCUAAGGAAUUUAGAUUAUAUAGUUUAUACUGUAUAAUACUCGGUAUUAAUUUAUUAAAUUAAUUCCGGGAGUAAUGUAAUUAUUAGUGAACUUGGUAAGCCCUAAAUUCUCUAAAUAUGGGCCCCCCCGAAGGGGGGGCCGAUAUUAUUUAUUUAGAGGUAACAUAUAAAGAGAAAUUGGAAGUUGUUAUAACGAAUUCAGGGUAUAAGAAUGAUUCAAAAAGCGAAUGCAGAUUAGUAAUAGAUCUGAUAGAGUUUUAUAACUUAAUCCGAGAGGAUGCAGACUUGAAUCAAUGUGAUCAUCGUAACUAUUCAGCCCCUAAAAAGGCGAUAUGAUAAUCUGAAGCUUUCGGUAGAUUAUUAUAGGAAUCUUGUCUAUUUAACCGGUUUAACCGGAAUAUUCAUCUAAGGUUCAAAAUUGUAAAUUACAAUUAAGGAAAUAAAGUAGUAUCGAUUUAUUAAUUAAUUAUUUACCUUUGGGUAAAUUUUUAAGGAAGUAAAUUGGCGAAUAAAAGAACUUUUAUAAAUAAAUAAGCUUAUUAAAAUUAUUAUAUGUUAAUAAUGAAAAAAUGUCAAAACAGUAAAUAAGACAAACUAAGUUAAAUGGUUAACUCGAUAAAAUACCAUUAAGUUAUUAGUGUUGCUAAAAAAAAAAUUUAUAUUCGAUUUGAAUGUUUAACACUAUUUCUUGGGUGAAUUAUUUGAUCAAAUAAAAAAACGAAAUAUAAUAAAUAACAAAGAUAAAAAUUUUUAAACUUAAACUUAAACAAAAAAAACAUGAUGAGAAUUUUAAUGGAAUCCAGAUUAUAUGCUGGCAAAUAUAUAUUAACAUUCUUUAGAGGAUAUAGAAAUUAUUUAUUAGGAAUGAUGUGAUAUAAAGGAUUAUUUAUAAAUAAGAAUUUUAUAUUUGCAACAGGUGUAAGAUUUAAAAGUAUAAAUAAAAAAUCGAAAGAUUCCCGGCUUAGUCGGGUUAAUUCAAAUAUUUGACAUAUGAUAAAUUGAGAGAAAGCUGAAAAAAAAGUAAAAGAUCUACAAGAGAAAAUAGUUAUUGCUACAUUAAAUAAUGAUAUAAAAGAAGUGUAUAAAUUACAAUGAAUUUUAUUACAAAGUUUUGAAGCUAAAAGUUUGGCAAUAAGAAAAGUUGUAACUAAUAAAAAUGGGAAAACAGCCGGAAUAGAUGGUAUAAUAUGAAAUAAUCCAAAAGAUUAUUCAUUAGCUAUCUUAGAAUUAUCCGCUAUUUUGAAAAAUCCUCAUAAUUAUAAAUCAAAACCCUUAAAAAGAAUAAAUAUUCUAAAAGAUAAUUAUUCAAAGGAAUUAAGGUCUAUAAUUAUUCCUACAAUGAUAGAUAGAGCUGUUCAAACUAUAUACUAUUUAGCUAUAGAUCCUGCAGUAGAAACUAAAUCUGAUCCUCAUUCAUAUGGGCAUAGAAAAAAUAGAUCUACUCAUGAUGCCAUUACUUCAAUAAGAGGUUUAACUGAUAAAAGUUAUCAUCCUAGAUGAAUUUUAAAAGUUGAGAUAUCUAAAUGUUUUGAUAAAUUAGAUCAUAAUUUUUUAUUAAAGCAUACCCCGAUAUGUCAUAAAUCUGUUUUAAAAGAAUGACUUAAAACUGGAGUAAUGGAAGAAUUAAAUUACAUUGAAAGAGUGGAUAAUAUACCCCAAGGAGGUAUUAUAUCUCCCUUGCUUUGUAAUAUAGCAUUUAAUGGUUUAGAGAAAUUCAUUAAAGAUGCUAAUCCCCCUAAUAAAAAAAGAAUAAAAGCAAAAGUAUAUGUUAUAAGAUAUAUUGAUAAUAUAAUUAUAACAGGUAUAACUAAAGCAUUAGUAAUUCGUAAUAAAGAAUUAUUAAUUCAAUUUUUAAAGAUUAGGGGUUUAGAACUUAAUGAAAAAAAUACUCUAAUUUCUCAUAUAAAAAAAGGAUUUGAUUUUUUAGGAUUUAAUAUUCGAAGAAUGAAAUGAAAUUUUAAACUUAAUAAUUCUAGUAAACAAGAUACUGUAUUAAUUAUUAAACCUUCGAAAGAAGCGAUAAGUAUUUUGAAAAAUACUAUUAAAAAUAUAAUAACUAUGAAUAAACCUUUAAUCACUAUAAUUAGGACAUUAAAUCCUAUUUUAAGUAAAUGAGGGGUAAAUAAGAGAAUAUCUUAUCAUUCACAGGAAACUUUUAUUAGUAUUGAACAUUAUAUUUAUAUAAAAAUGAAAAAAUGAGUAUAUUGAAAAGGAGGAUCAUUAAGAAAAAAAAUGAGAAAUAGAAAUUACUUGCUGACUACUGAAACAAGAAAAUGAAAUUGAGGUAUUUCUUUAAAGGAUAAACUUAUUAAUAUAAGUGAAAUACCUAUCAUAUUAUUAAGACCUUUAAAACUUGACAGAAAUCCAUAUUUGUCUGAAAAUAUUGAAUAUUUUAAUAUUAGAAAGUCACAUAUUGAAAUGGAUAAUUUCAGAGCAGCCAUUUAUAAAAAGUACAAACAUACAUGUCCUAUAUGUAAAAGUACUCUAUAUAAUGGGGAACUAGUGGAAUUGCAUCACAUCAUUCCACAAAAAGCCCAAGGAAAAUAUAGUUUAACCAAUAUACUUCCACUUCAUCAAGUUUGUCAUAAACAGGUUACCCAUGGUAACCUGUCUUUAGAAAGAUUUAAGAUAGCUUUACCAAAAAAGGCUAUCAAGAGUCGGAAUAAAAAACAAACUUAAUUUAGGGAUCCUAGGAUCUCUAAUCCCGGCAAUAGGCCGGGUAUUCGUUAAAAAUCGGUAAAAUAUACUGAAGUAUAAUAACGAAUAUUAUAUCAUAAAUUAUUGGCUAAGAAAAAGUAAGGAACGAUUCUCCAAAACGAGGGAUAGAAAUUACAUUCGAGUAUGGUUGCAUGAGCCGUAUGCGAUGAAAGUCGCACGUACGGUUCUUAUGGGGGGAAAGCCUGAGAGGGCCUACCUAUCCUAAUUGGGCCAGUGAGUUAUAUAAUUUAGUGAAAAAAAAAUAAAUUUUUAUAUAUAAAUAGAAAAAAAUUAAAUUAUAUAGGCCCGAAAGCAAACGAUCUACACAUGUCCAAGUGUAUAUAUAAUCAAUAAUAGGUUUUAUAUAUGACUCAAUAGGUAAUUGUAGCAAUAAUUUCUAAAGAGGUGUGUGUAGCUGUGACAGACAAAUCUGGUUUGCAGAUAGCUGGUUUUCUGCGAAAUAUAUUUUAGUAUAGCCUUUAUACAUAUUUAAACUGGUACAGCACUUAAAUAACUUUGGGGAAUUAGAAUAUAAUUUUAUCAAAAUAUUUAAACCUCGAAAUCAGUUAAUAAUAAUAUAAGGAGUCAGACUUAUUGCGAUAAGGUAGUAGGUCGAGAAGGAAACAACCUAGACUAUUAAAUGAAUGUCCCAAAUAUUAAUUAAGUGAACAAAAUCUAUCCUACUUUUAUAAAAAAAAUAUUAUAUUAUAUCUUACUCAUUAAGGGAGAGAUAUUUAUAAAAUUAUUUUUUUUUUAUAAUAUAUGAGGUAUUAAAUUAUAGACAAUUAGUAAGUGGGUUUGACAAUAAUCAACUUUUAAUGAACAUGUAACAAUGCACUAAUUUUAUAUAUAUAUAAAUAAAUAUAUUUAUUAAUAAUAGAGAAAAUAUAUCGGGUCUAAAUUAAUAACAGUAUUAUAGAUAUAAUGAAAAAGAUGAUCAUGAUAUGGUAGCAGAAUAUAUAAUGAAAAAUUAUAAAGAGAUUGCUGGCUUGAGUAACGAUAGAUAAUAUAAGAUUAUCCCCUUAUUCAUAAGGUUUUACUAUAAACGAACGGUCCCUAAGAUAAUUAUAGAAAUAUAAAAUUGAUGGGUAAAAGAACAAGAAAAAAGAAAUGAACCGUACUGUAGACCGACACAGGUAUGAUAAAAAGGGAAUGGGAUAACUACUUUGAAUGAACUCGGCAAAAUAAAUCGUGCGACUGUUUACCAAAAACAUAGCUUAUUGCAUACUAGUAAUAGUAAGUAUAAUAAGUGAUAUCUGCCCGGUGUUAGUUUAAUAAAUAUUAUUAUUUAAUUGAUAAUUUUAUAAAAAACUGAUAAACGGCGGUCUUAUUGUGAGGAUCCGAAGGUAGCGAAAUUCAUUGACGUAUAAUUGACGUCCUGCAUGAAUGAAUAUACGAUGCGAUAACUGUAUCCAAAGUAGACUCAGUGAAAUAGCAAUUGCGGUGAAAUUUGUACUAUAAUAUAUUUAUAUUAUAAGCCGGGUUGGUGUAAAUCCAACUUUAUAGUAUUAAUUUUUAAUGUUAAUAACCUUUAAUCAUUCAAUUUUUUACUUAUAAUUACAAAAACAAAGAUAAGAACUAAUACAAUGAUAAAAUUUUAUAAAUCAUUUAUAGGAUUAUCUUAUGGAGAAUAUAACUUUUCAAUAAUAUCUAUUAAUAAAUUAUUUAUAAUUUUAUAUUCCAAUUUAUAAUUACAUUACAUGUAGAUCAUAAAGAAGUAUUAAAUAUUAUUAAAAAUAAUCUUAAUUUAGGUAUUAUUUCUUUUGAUAUGACAAAAGUAGAUAUGAGUGUUCUUUUAUUAUUAGAAAUAAAAUAAGAAAUAAUAAUAUUUUUAAAUAUAUUCAAUAUUUAUAAAUUAAAUUCUACUAAUUAUUUAAAUUGAAAUUAAUCUAAUCUAAUCUAAUCUUUUUUUAUUUAUCAAAAUAAAACAGAAUUAAAUUAAGAUAUUAUUAAUAAAAUUUUAUUAAAAAAAAGUAAAAUAAAUAAUAAUAAAAUUGAAUUUAUAAGCAUAUUCAAAUAAAAAUUGAGAUCAUCAUGUAGAUAUUUUUAAAUAUUGAUUAUUAGGUUUAAUAGAGGGUGAAGGUUCUUUUAAUUUUUGAAGAGAAGAUUUAAGACCUCAUUUUACUUUAGUUUUAACUGAAGUUCAAUAUUAAAAAUAAAAAAAAAAUAAAAUAAUAUAAAAGAUUUAAAUUUUGAUGUAUAUUCUUUAUUUCAAUUAAAUAAUAAUUCAAAUAUUUGUAUUAAUUAUAAUAAAGCUAGAUUUAAUUAUAAAUCAAGUUAUACACUUUUAAUAACAAAUAAACAUAUUUUAAAUAAUUAUUUUUUAUUUUAUAUAGAAUCUAAAAAAAUUUAUUUAUAUCAAAAAAAUAUAAUGAUUUAAAUAAGUUAGUUAUUAUAACAAAAGGAAUAUAUAAUGGUUUACAUAUAAAUAAAGAAUAUAAAAAUAAAAUAUAAAAAAUAAGUUAUAGAAUGAAUAAAUAUAACUUAUCUAAUAGUAAAAUAUAAGGAUCUAAAGAUUAAUUUAUAAAUAAAUUAAGGUGUAAUAGAUAAUAAUGUAAUAGAAUUAGAAUAAUUGUUAGAUAAUAUAAAAAAUAAACCAUUAUUAAAAUGAUGGUAGAGUAAUUAAUUUAAUAAGGAAUAAAAUAAUAGAUAAAAUCAAUCUUGUAUUAAUAAAAUUAUAAAUAUAAAUAAUAAUGAUAAUCAUUAAUUAUGAAAUAAAAAGAUUAAUAAAAUUAUUUAGAUAUAGAUGCUAAAAGAUUAAGUAGAUUAUAAAAUAAAGAAUAAACAUGGAAUGAUAAAUAACUAAUAAUAGGAAAUUAUUUUAUAAAAAGAAUAAAAGUUUUUGAAAAAUGGAGAUACUUAAAGAGUAAAUAUUAAAAAUUAAAUGUCUUAAAUGACAGAUGAGUAUGAAUCUUUAUUAAUAUAAAGUGGUAAGAAUACAAUCGAAUAAUACUUAUCCCUCAUAUAGAGGGAAAAUUACAUAUAGGCAAUAUGUAGUUAAAUCGCUAUAAAUAAAAAGGUGAAAACGGUCAAUGACAUCUUAGUUAAAGACCGUCGGCAGUUGUAUAUGUCGCUACAGACUGGUUCACCGAGGUUAGACUGAAAUGUCUGUCUAAAUGUACAGUCGAAUUCUGUAAUAUAUAAAAUAUCUUAAUGAUAUAUAAAUUAUAUAUAUAAAGGUGAAAGAUUUAUCUAUAAUUUAGAUAUAACUUAUUAGUACAUAAGUAAGAAACCUUUGUAGGUCAAACCUACUUAAGUUAAUCAGAAUUGGAAGAUGCCGUAUAUCCGUAGGUUGACAAAAAGACCCUAUGCAGCUUUACUAUAUCUUUAUUUUGAUUUUUAAUCAUAAUUUUAUUAUGAUUAGCCUUUUUUCAUUUAUUUCAGUAGAUUAGGUUAUAUUUAUAUUUUAAAUCAAAUGAGAUACCUAUAUAUUUGAAAAAAGAAUCUAAUUAAUAUAGUCAUAAUUCUAUAAUAUAGAAUGUUAGUAAUACUAAUUGACUUAAGUUUAACUUAUUUAAGAAAGAGUAAAGAGGUUAGUUUCGAUGGGGCGUCGACAUCAGCGAAAGCAUCUGAUGUGUCUAAUAACAAUGAUCUUGAUUAAAAAUUAAUAAUCAAGACUUAAUGUUUAAUUAAAUUUAUUAUUUAAUAGUAAAUAACGUACAAUAAUUCUAUAUGGUAAAUAGAAUAUAAUAUUAUAAGUAAGGAUAACAACAUAAUUGUGCGAUGAUAAUAACACUAACAAGUGGAAUUAGUACUUACGUAGAGUGUAGUGAACAGGCAUAAACAAAUGGUAUGGAUGUCGAUAACGGAUUAACCGCGUGAGAGUUGAUAUCGUCAGCGGUGUUUGCCACCUCGAUGUCGUCUAGACUCGUCCUCCUGGUCGCAGCAACUAGGUAGGGUAGGACUGUUCGUCCUCUAAGGAGUUACUUGAGAUGGGUUAAUUACGACGUGAGUCAGUAAUGAUUUUAUCAUCUAUGGAUUUUUUACUUAUCUGUUGCCUUAAGUGUACGCAAGGAUAAUAAGGUACAUUUCUAUGGUUAAUAAAAUAUUUUAGCUAAGAAUGUUGUGUUUACAUAUUGAAUGCAUAUCAAAUAUAAAAUCCUUCAGAUAAGUUUUAUACAUUAUAGACUAUAAUGUAUUAGUAAAUUUGUAAUAUUGCAAAUAUACUAAUUAAUAAACUCAUAUUAAAUAAAAAUGAGUAUUUAAACAUAUACCU